CAGCCGGCAGACGAGUGAAAAGCCAACAAUCAAGAGGAACUACAGAAUUUUCACCAACUGUCUACUGAAAAAGGGAUUGGUCUUGAAGUAUCAAGUCAACAACAUAUUGAUACCCACACUUCAACAAGUUGAUCGAUGCUUUACUCAUGGAGUUUGUUGCCAGUCUUUGGAUUAUGCCUGAUGCUGGGAGACUCGUUUGCUGUCCGGCUGCCUGACAGACUGCGACAGAAAAGGGAUGUCAACUGGCCGGACCAGGAGUUUUUCCCGGACAUGUCAGAGCUCUCUGACCUUGCCGACCGUUCUCCACCAGGAGAUGCCGGGGAGAC